rnacentral:rRNA from 1 species
GUCAAGCGAGAAGUUUUAGUUUGACGCUUCGGUUGAUUACUAAAAUGGACAGCGGCGCAAGGGAGAGUAACGCGUAGUUAUCUGCCCCGAGGUCCGGAAUAGCUGAGGGAAACUUCAGGUAAUACCGGAUAAUAUCCCCGGAUCAAAGGUGUGAUUCCGCCUUGGGAGGAGACUGCGUACUACUAGCUUGUUGGUGGGGUAAUGGCCUACCAAGGCUUUGAUGGUUAGCGGGCGUGAGAGCGUGGCCCGUCUCACUGGGACUGAAACACUGCCCAGACACCUACGGGUGGCUGCAGUCGAGAAUCUUCGGCAAUGGGCGAAAGCCUGACCGAGCGAUGCCGCGUGCGGGAUGAAGGCCUUCGGGUUGUAAACCGCUGUCAGUUGGGAGGAAGGCUUCGUGAAGAGCGAAGUUUGACCUAUCUUCAGAGGAAGUCCGGGCUAAGUUCGUGCCAGCAGCCGCGGUAACACGAACCGGACAAACGUUAUUCGGAAUUAUUGGGCUUAAAGGGUGCGUANGCGGCUUAGUAGGUGGGGUGUGAAAUCCCUCGGCUCAACCGAGGAACUGCGCCCCAAACCCCUAGGCUUGAGGGAGACAGAGGUAAGCGGAACUGAUGGUGGAGCGGUGAAAUGCGUUGAUAUCAUCAGAACACCGGUGGCGAAAGCGGCUUACUGGGUCUCUUCUGACGCUGAGGCACGAAAGCUAGGGUAGCGAACGGGAUUAGAUACCCCGGUAGUCCUAGCUGUAAACG